GUUCAAUAUGAUCUGGUGUCUGGUGAUCUCCAAACUAACUCAACAAAUGGAACUGUAAUUUUUGGGUGUGGGGGUACACAAUCUGUAGAUCUAAGGUCCGCAGAUGACGCUCUUGAUGGGGUUUUGGGAUUUGGGAAAUCGAAUUCAUCCAUGCUUUCCCAGCUGGCUUCAUCUGGAAAAGUGAAGAAAAUGUUUGCUCAUUGCUUGGAUGGUGUAAAUGGUGGUGGUAUAUUUGCCAUUGGGAACGUUGUCAAACCAAAAGUAACCAUGACACCAUUAGUACCGAACCAGCAACACUACAAUGUCAAUAUGACAGCUGUUGAAGUUGGUUUUCAAUUUCUAAACCUUUCUGCUGAAGUAUUUACAAAUGGAGUGAACAAGGGAGUUAUUAUUGACAGUGGAACAACCUUGGCUUAUCUUCCUGAGGUGAUUUAUGGGCCACUAGUGAAAAAGAUACUGUCCUGGCAACCUGAUCUGAGAUUGCGUACAGUUAAUGAUGAGUAUACAUGCUUUGGAUACUCUGGAAGUGUUGAUGAUGGAUUCCCUCAAGUCAAUUUUCAUUUUGAAAAUUUUCUUUCUUUAAGAGUUCGUCCACAUGAGUAUCUAUUCCCUUUCGAAGAUUUAUUUUGCAUCGGAUGGCAGAAUAGUGGCAGUCUAUCUCGUGACAAAUGGAACCUCACGGUUUUUGGAGAUUUGGUUCUUUCAAAUAAGCUAGUGUUGUAUGAUCUUGAAAAGCAGUCCAUUGGUUGGACCGAAUAUAACUGCUCGUCGAGCAUCGGAUUGAAGGAUGAAAUUACUGGUUCAGUACAUUUAGUAGGAGCUCAUUCCCUUUCUGGUGCUUCUAGUUUGACUGCUCAAAUGGCUCUAACCUUGUUGUUAUUAGUAGCUCUGCUGCACUACUCACUAUUUAACGGGGAAAGCUGACAUGAAUAGUUGCUUCCAGUACUUGAGACACAGCAGGUUAAGAAGCAUUUAUACUGAAAGGGAUUCUUCAAGUAUGGACACAGCACAUCAAUUCACUGGAUAUCAAGUAGGAGUGUGCAUAUUUUACAUACAUGAUUGGCUGAUGACAGGAAAACUAAGAUACUGAACUUGGGAAGGUGCCUUUUUGUUUGCUUUAUAGAACAAUUAAUAGACCACUCCAUUUUUAUAUGAAGUUGGGUUGUAAAACGCAUGAUGUAAAUAGAUCUCUGUACAUAAUCUUACGAGCAAUAUUCGGACUCUUCAAAAAUAUGGACGGUUGUGUUCUAG
rnacentral:misc_RNA from 1 species